CCCAAGUACUCCGCUGCAUUAUCCGAUAUAUAAAGCAAUUUGCCAUUUUGUGUGAGCAUCAUCAAAAAGCCGGAGAGUGCCUGCAAUACAAAUACGUAUGUGAAUACAGGGUGAAUGACUGUUGCUCCACAUUGCUUGUAUCCCAUUAGAGCCUUCCUUUGUGUCUCCUGACUAUUUUGGCCCAGAGCAGUCCCACGCCUAUAAAACCCGAUUCGGAUUUCGAAACCAAUAUCCCAUUCCAACACAGGGCCAAUAGAAUUGUAAACACAUCGGGCUCGGGCCAAUGAUCGCCCACAAGAAAAUAAAAACAAAGGAGCGCAAAGCGGGAAAAUUCAGAAUUGAAUUACAUGAAAAUGCUCGAUGCGUUUGCGGAAAGGAAAUCGUACAAACUGGUCAUGAAAAAUGCAUCACUUGACCAGGGCGCAGACCAUAAAACGUUUGCAGCCGCCAGACGACGGCGACGACAACUUGGCCACAACUUGGCCAGAACCUGGCUUAUGAACUGCCUGUUUGUGUCUUCGCCCAGGAGACUGAUCCUGU